rnacentral:rRNA from 1 species
UACGGAGGGUGCAAGCGUUAAUCGGAAUUACUGGGCGUAAAGCGCACGCAGGUGGCUGAGUCAGUCGAUUGUGAAAGCCCUGGGCUUAACCUGGGAAUUGCAGUCGAUACUACUCGGCUCGAGUAUGGGAGAGGGCAGUGGAAUUCCCGGUGUAGCGGUGAAAUGCGUAGAUAUCGGGAGGAACAUCAGUGGCGAAGGCGGCUGCCUGGGUAGAUACUGACGCUGAGGCGCGAAAGCGUGGGGAGCAAACAGG